CUCCGAUGGGUCUCAGCAGCACACAAGAAUACACCUAAGGCAAAGAGACAAAGAGGCAGAAUCUGUGGUACAGUAAUUCCAUUGAAUUCAGUGGCGUUACUCCCGGUUUUCACCAGUGUAGGGGAAGUCAGAAACUGCUCUGAUGUGUUUCAGAUUAUGCCUUGCCUUUAAAGCAAAAUGAGUUCACAGCUCAAGAGAUGUGAAUACAGGGCUGGGAACUCCUGAUUAUAUCUUCUUGACUUCCUCUAUGACUGUGGACAAGUACGUAUUGUGGAACCAGAAAGCAAUGAACUGUGAACAGCAGAGAAUAAUGGAGAGUUCGGCUUCAAAACUGAGAGCAGGUGCCCCUUGACGCUCCAUGGACUCUGCACAAGCAUAAGAAUCUGCUGAUGUGGAUGAGGUUGCAGAAUCAGGGCCUGAAUAUUUUUUUGCAUGUGGCUGCCCAGCUGAACUCAUCCAGAGCCCCAACAGCUGUGCAGAUGAAAGGGCUGCAAGGCAGAGGAUUGUGGUGGCUGCUAGGAAGACUGGUGAGAAGCUGCCAGACAGACCAACGCACCUAAGAGGGAGACACUGAGGAAGACUACAGAGUUCAUUAUACAAUCAAAAGUCACUUCAAGAACCGUGCAAGAACAGCAGGUCAGAACAGUUAUAUAAAUAUUCCAUUUCUGGUAUCCUUGUUUUAACAAUAAUAGCUGGACCUUCAUAUGUAUGGUGGAGGUGAGUCUUUACAUUAUUAACCAAACAGUUACAUUUCUGAUUAUUCCACUGUGUGGUCAAGUGUCCAUACAAACAUACUGUUUGGUUUCAGUUCCUUUUAUUUACUGCUGCUUUCAGCACAGUUGUAUUUCACUAACACAUAAUAUAAGCAUGCUUGACUGCAAACAUUAGCCUUCUUCAAUUUGUCACUGUGAUGUUUCUUGGGAUGUCUAAGACUGUGGGCUACCUUGUUAUCCCCUUGCCUUAGGGCACGUCUUCACUACCUGCUGGAUCGGUGGGUAGCGAUCUAUCUAUCGGGGAUCGAUUUAUUGCAUCUAGUGUAGAUGCGAUAAAAUCGAUCCCCGAUCGCUCUGCCGUUGACUCCGGAACUCCAACACAACAAGAGGCGGAAGCGAAGUCGAAGGAGAGCGGCAGCGGUUGACUCCUCACAGCCAGGUAAGUCGACCUAAAAUACGCAACUUCAGCUACGCAAUUCGCGUAGCUGAAGUUGCGUAUCGUAGGUCGACCCCCCACCCCAGAAUGUAGACCGAGCCUAAGUGAAAAACAGACCUGCUGGUGCUAAAUUAGAUGUCAGCUCCCUGUCGCCCCAGUCUGUUAGCCACCCCAAACAAUCUCCUCAGAAGCUCUGUUAGCCUUUCGCUUUGCCAUGCAGGUAGCACUUGGUGUACUCCAGUUCCCAAACACCUCAGAAGCAUCUUCCUGUAGUGUUCAGCCCCCGUCACUGGACACUCUCAGUAAUUGCCAAGUCUGCUGUCUCCAAAGAGACAGUGUACACACAACUGGAAAGUCACCAUUCAGGAUUGGAUCCUUUAUAACAACGUAGCACUGUAAAUUAUUUAUGAUGAAAACAAAUAUAAGUUUAUUAACAAAAACAGAUUUACAGAUUUAAGUGAGUAUUGAGUAAGAAUAAUGGAAACAGAAAUGGUUACAAAAAAUAAAAUGCUUAUAAGAGACUAAACAUAAUGUUGACAGGCUACAUUCCUUUGUCCAAAAUAGCUUUUCAUCCUUACAGUCCUUUUGCAGAGCUUGUUGAUUUUCAAUCCAGUCAGGAUCCAGAUUAUCAGGAAUACCACCAACACAAGUGUUCCUCAAUGAAAUGGAGAACUAAGGGUUUCUUUUAGAGUGGUAACCAUGUUAGUCUGUAUCAGCAAAAACAACUAGGAGUCCUUGUGGCACCUUAGAGACUAACAGAUUUAUUUGUCCUUCUUAUCGUCCAUAGUAAAAGACAAAAUCUGCCCCAAAGAGCUUAUAGUUGAAAAUAUCCUUUUGAAGUAUAUCCCCAGAUAAGAUUCUCCUUCCCCAGUUGCUGGUUCUUUGAUGUGUCAGUGAUGUGCUGAUUUUACAUCCCCCUAUUAACUUGUUUUUUCCUGUUUACUUCACUUGCAAGGGCAAUUCCCGUUGUACAACAGACCCUUGCUAGAAUGCGCGUCUUUAUAGUGUGAAUUCGGUUAUAGCGCGGGACCGCACAUGUAUCCCAAAUUUAAUUACCUUCAUUGGAAUCCAUGGUAACGCGGUCCCCGCUAUAACGCGGUUCCUGAGUUAAUGCGGGACCGCGCAUGGAUCCAAAACCCUGCAUUCUAGUGGGGGUCCGAUGUACUUGGUUUCACAAUGCUUAAUUUACAUUAGAGACAGGGAUAGCUGAAUAGACAUGUUUUGUCUGGCAGAAGACCUGCUUGUCCACUCUACCUUGUUACAGACUUUACAGCAUAACAUCACACAGUAUUAAUACAUAAAUUUCACAGUGAUAUUAAUGACCAGAGUGUCACUGGUUUUCAUUGGCUACCUCACAAGACACUUUUUGGAUAAACACUAUUAAAACAGUGUAUUAGGUGUAAUGAGUUUGUCAGACCUAAUAGGAGUUGCCAACAGAAUACUGAACCUGUUUGCCGAGAGGUUUUUUAGGGUCACAAUCUAUUUAGCUAAAAUAAAUCAAUAUGAACACAAUCCCUCUCUCCUAACUGGAUUGCCCAUGAGGUAAACUCUGGCAUUAAAGUUUACAAUAUUUUGCUCACAGCUGCAUCCCUUAUGGCUGACUUCCCUCUUAUACCCAUUUUGUUUAGAAUAUUAGAUUCCAUCAAGGUCCCCAUUUUACUACUGUAUCUGGCACAUCAUAUAAAUAUCAAAGUCUGAUAUUAAUCUUAUUACUAUUUUCAUUCAUUCAUUCACAAACAGGGAGAGGGGGAAAUCUCUUUAGGUGCAUCAGCUUGCAAAAGGCUGCAGCAACUCUGAGUUUCCUCAGACUAUGGAAGAAAAUCUAGCCAUUAGACUAUAGAUUUUUAUUCUCUUAGCCCUCCAUUCAAUCUUUUCUAAAAGGACUUGAUGCCUGGGCAAUUCUUAAAUAGUAAUCAUUUAUAACUUGAGGGGUGGGAGGGCUUAGUUACUACAAAACUACAAAGAAGAAGGCCAAAAUAUGACUUGAUAGGAAAACAGUCCAGGAAUCUUAAACAUUUUUAAGAGCUAUUACAUAAAAUAUUUUUUUGUUUUCUUUUUUAAACCAGGAGACUUUUGGACAACAUUGUUAAAAAACAAAAAGAAAAACACAACCUCUUUCGUUCUAAAACUAAUUGACAGGACAGUCUUCUCUGAGUUCUCUUAACCCAUUUCCAUCUUAAAAAACAUAUCUUGAUUAUUUGUUGUUGUUAUAGCAAUACCCAGAGGCUUCAACUGAGAACAGGACCUGGUUGUAUUGGAUACAACGCAUAUAGUGCCAGCUGCAAAGAGUUUACAGUCUAAAUAGACCAGUCAGAUGGUGGGAAGCUACUCUUCUAUUUAGUACUUGAAUUAUUAUUGUUAUUGAAGAGAUUACAGUAAUACAAUGAUAAAAUAACAAAUGGUAUUUCUCUUUUUAAAGUGAUGAUGUACAGAAUAGAAUAAUUGAGUUUAAGGCGAGAAGGGACAACCAGUCAUCUGGUCUGACCUCGUGUAUAUCACAGGCCAUUAAACAUCAGCCAGGUACCCUGAUACCAAGCCCACCAACCAAAAUUAGACCAAAGUAUUAAGCCCUCAGGAAACUAAACUGUUGUGUGCCAUGGGCAGAGAACAGGAGGGACCAUUGUGCAUCAAUGUCAGAAACCCCUGAAAUGGCAGAGAAUUGAAUUGGUGAGAUGUAUUCAGAUGAUCCUAGCAAGUGACUUGUACCCCAGGCUUCAGAAGAAGGUGAAAACCUACCACGGUCCCUGCCAGUCUGAUCUGAGGAAAAAUGAGUCCUUGGUAAGGGCUGAUAGAGAGGAUUACCCCAUUCUCUGGCUUUACCCUCAGGACAAUAUCUUAGCAUGUCAGGAAAUAACUGUGAUGUUACACCCCAUAUUCUUCUUAGAAAUAUUGUUAUGAUAUGAAUAUGGCAUAGCUAAGAUAUGUUUUAUGCAAGAGAGAUCAU